rnacentral:lncRNA from 1 species
CUCCAGCCACCCAGCCUACUGACGGAAGUGCUGUCUCUCUUGAUAGGUCCAGGAUGACUCAGCCGACCAGCACGUGACCAAGCAGAGCUCCCAACAAACUUUUUCUCCUCUUAGCAAGGGUGCCAGUGUGCCAUGCCCACAGACCUCCCUUCCUUCCUCUUCCCAUCUCCUCUGGACCCAAGGAUGAAUGGAGAGGACAAGGAAACCUUCUUUGCACAAACAGGUGUGGCAUCUGUGCAGUGAGGCAUCUCAUGCUGGUGGUGAGUGGAGAGCAGGGCAGGCAGACCCCAGGUUGAUUCACACCUUGUUCCUUACCAUUGGACUGACUGACCUCAAGCAAACCGAGUUCUUUUUCCCGUGGAGACAGUAA